AGCAGCCGCGGUAAUUCCAGCUCCAAUAGCGUAUAUUAAAGUUGUUGCAGUUAAAAAGCUCGUAGUUGAAUUUCGGGAUCAAUACGUCGGUCGUGCUUCGGUACGUACUGGCGUAAUUGAUUUCUCCCUUCUGACGAACCAUGAUGUCAUUAACUUGGUGUCAUGGGAAAUCAGGACUGUUACUUUGAAAAAAUUGAGUGUUUAAAGCAGGCAUACGCUUGAAUACAUUAGCAUGGAAUAAUGAAAUAGGACGUUCGAUUCUAUUUUGUUGGUUUCUAGGAUCGACGUAAUGAUUAAUAGGGAUAGUUGGGGGCAUUAGUAUUCAAUUGUCAGAGGUGAAAUUCUUGGAUUUAUUGAAGACUAACUACUGCGAAAGCAUUUGCCAAGGAUGUUUCAUUAAUCAAGAACGAAAGUUAGGGAUCGAAGACGAUCAGAUACCGUCGUAGUCUUAACCAUAAACUAUGUCCGACUAGGGAAUCGGAUGAUGUUAAUUUUUUAANGUACUCAUUCGGCUACCCG
rnacentral:rRNA from 1 species